CAGUCAUACCGGCGGGUAAUCAGCCUUUCGGGUGCGAUUCUGUGGAGUGUGAGGAGCUAAUCGCCUUCAUGCCUGUAUAUUCGUGUACUUGGGGUGUACUUAUUCGUGAGGUAGGUUAACAUCAAUUUUGGUCGUCAUAAAAUGAUCGGAGGAAUGUAGCUUCGAUCUUGUAUUGAAGUGUUAUAGCCUUCGGUAGAUGUGAUGAUUGGGAUUGAGGAUUGCAACGGAUACCCUUCGGGGCUACCUGUCUGAUCUCUGAAAGUUGCUCUGGUGCCGAAAGCUUGCUUACGGUAUCAAAGUUGACGUUCAACAGGUUAGAACGGGAUAAA
rnacentral:rRNA from 1 species